rnacentral:rRNA from 1 species
AUACGGAGGGUGCAAGCGUUAAUCGGAAUUACUGGGCGUAAAGGGCGCGUCGGUGGUUAGGUCAGUCGGAUGUGAAAGCCCCGGGCUCAACCUGGGAAUGCCAUUCGAUACUGCCUGACUAGAGUAUGGUAGAGGGAAGCGGAAUUCCGGGUGUAGCGGUGAAAUGCGUAGAUAUCCGGAGGAACACCAGUGGCGAAGGCGGCUUCCUGGAUCAAUACUGACACUGAGGCGCGAAAGCGUGGGGAGCAAACAGGAUUAGAAACCCCGGUAGUCC